UACGUAGGGUGCGAGCGUUGUCCGGAAUUAUUGGGCGUAAAGAGCCCGUAGGCGGUGUGUCGCGUCGGCCGUGAAAACCUGGGGCUCAACUCUGGGCGUGCGGUCGAUACGGGCAUCACUUUGAGUCGGCAGGGGAGACUGGAAUUCCUGGUGUAGAGGUGAAAUUCGUAGAUAUCAGGAGGAACACCAGUGGCGAAGGCGGCUUUCUGGACGGUAACUGACGCUGAGACGCGAAAGCGUGGGGAGCAAACAGG
rnacentral:rRNA from 1 species